rnacentral:tRNA from 1 species
CUGGGUGCAGCCGGAGGAACGGCUGGCCCGCUACGUCCGGCCGGACGAGAUGCACCAGGCGUUCAACUUCCCCUACCUGGA